rnacentral:tRNA from 1 species
GGAAGUAUAGUUUAUUUGAGAAUGGUACUUUUGUAAAGUAUUGGUGUAUAAUUAUAUUUUACUUCUU